rnacentral:rRNA from 1 species
AUUGAACGCUGGCGGCAUGCUUUACACAUGCAAGUCGAACGGUAACAGGCCGCAAGGUGCUGACGAGAGGCGAACGGGUGAGUAAUGCAUCGGAACGUGCCCAGUCGUGGGGGAUAACGCAGCGAAAGCUGUGCUAAUACCGCAUACGAUCUAUGGAUGAAAGCGGGGGACCGUAAGGCCUCGCGCGAUUGGAGCGGCCGAUGUCAGAUUCGGUAGUUGGGGGGGUAAAGGCCGACCAAGCCGACGAUCUGUAGCUGGUCUGAGAGGACGACCAGCCACACUGGGACUGAGAAACGGCCCAGACUCCUACGGGAGGAAGCAGUGGGGAAUUUUGGACAAUGGGCGCAAGCCUGAUCCAGCAAUGCCGCGUGCAGGAAGAAGGCCUUCGGGUUGUAAACUGCUUUUGUACGGAACGAAACGGCCUGGGUUAAUACCCUGGGCUAAUGACGGUACCGUAAGAAUAAGCACCGGCUAACUACGUGCCAGCCGCCGCGGUAAAAC